UUUCUUUUCUCUCUUUUUUUUUUCGUUUUUCUUUUUCCUUCUUCUUUUUUUUUUUUUUUUUUUUUUUUUUUUUUUUUUUUUUUUUUUUUUUUUUUUUUUUUUUUUUUUUUUUUUUUUUUUUUUUUUUUUUUUUUUUUUUUUUUUUUUUUUAGGCUGGGGGCCAAGACUUUUCAAAACUUGAGCUAGAGGCUUCUAUACUGGUCCCAAUAAAACAAUUCACUUAAGCACAAAGAGUCUAUUCUUUUCCUUUUUCAUUUCUCCCAAAUCAUAAUCACAACACUCACCCCCACCUAUAGCUAGACAAUAGAGUGUCCAAUCUAGCAAGAAUGAAGAUCAAGCAUUGUCGUUCCCGAUACUCUCAACAUUAUGCACAUGUAAGACUUUCCGAAAAAGGCCUCACUCAUCAAACAAUGAAAGCUUAAAAGGAGGAAAAGGUUUUGGGAGUGGUCUACCACUAGAGUUUGUCAAAAAAGAUUGGUAUAAAAGAUGUGACAACUCAAGUGUGUAUAGCCAUGACUCAGUACACAAGGGACCAUGAGCAAGAAGCAUUAAGUUCGUUCAGUUCAAAUA
rnacentral:lncRNA from 1 species